rnacentral:rRNA from 1 species
UACGAAGGGGGCUAGCGUUGCUCGGAAUCACUGGGCGUAAAGCGCACGUAGGCGGACUCUUAAGUCGGUGGUGAAAUCCUGGAGCUCAACUCCAGAACUGCCUUUGAUACUGGGUAUCUUGAGUAUGGAAGAGGUAAGUGGAAUUGCGAGUGUAGAGGUGAAAUUCGUAGAUAUUCGCAGGAACACCAGUGGCGAAGGCGGCUUACUGGCCCAUAACUGACGCUGAGGUGCGAAAGCG